UUAUAUAUUAAUUAAUGGAAUUACAGAAAAAAAAUUUCCUAUUUAUGCAUUCAUUGUAUCUAGCUAAUGUUAAAAUCUAUAUAAUAAUUAUUUCUUUUUAAUUUUAUACAUUUAUGAUGUAUAAUAAAACAAUGUAUGUACAAUUAAAAAAAUAUAGGUUAAGUAUAUAUGAUCAAUGUAUUGUAACGAAGUUCGAAUGAUUCAAACUUAAACGAGAGAACAUGCUAUGAUUCUUGAUCAGUUGUGUAAACUGUGUAACUAGUAUUAGUAUUUUGUAAUAGAACAGAGGAAACAGCAUACAUAUAAAUUGCAGUAUUUAUAGCAAUAUUUGCAUAAGAUACAUCUAUUUUUUUGUUUCUCCCAAAUGUUUAUCCAGUAAUGAAGAACGAUAAGUAUUAAUUAAUUUAAACAAAAUGAUUAUGAUUGUCUAAAAAAAAUCUAAUGGUUAUUGAUGCAAAAUACAAAAUUUUAUUACGUAAAUACAAAUUAAGGAAAUGAAUAAGUUGGCCUAUUUCGUAUCGACAUGCAGUCACGUCGUUAUAAAGAAAAGGAUUUGAAAAGAAUCUAUAAUGACAGUUUGAAUCGAAUUCGAUGUGACGUAAAACGUGGAGUCUAUGGUGAAACACGUCAUGAUAGAUUAAGCUUUAGUAUCAUGAAUAUUGUUAAUUAAUAAGAACAUUAAUAUGCAAAAUGACUACGUUAGAGACAAUGAAAAUGAUUCUCAAUGUAACAUAUCAACUAAAAAAACACAAACGAUGUUCUGUGAUCACCAUCUAACAAUAGAUUUUUAAAUAAUUUAUCGUCGAAUAAAAAUAUAUAUUUCAAAUAUUUGAUAUUCGAAAAAAAUGAAUC